rnacentral:lncRNA from 1 species
AGAUUUUUGCUUCUCAAAUCACCUAGUUGAUGAUCUCGGACCAACCACAUUUCUAUCUUAUGUUAUUUCUAUUUCUAAGUACUUAUGUUAUGUUUUGUGUUUCGAAAACUCUAGUUGGUCUUUGUUUCUUUUCCAAGGAGCAUGUAUGCCUUUACUCCUUGCUAGUUGUUGAAAGCUUGUGCAUGUACAAGUCUUUCUAUACUUAUAUGUUUUGAAACUUAUAUCAUAUAUUUUAUCUAAAACCUUUGUUUCUCUCAUCAUCUUGCUUGUCGAGUUGUUUAAUUGUUAUGGUGUGUAAUAUCCAGAGUUAAGAGUGUGUAUCUCGGUUUGUCAUAUCCGACCUAGUCACGUAGGAGUAUCAAGGAGCCUUUCCGCAGCCUCUUGUGUCACCAAUCGAUCCACAUACCUUGAUAGACUUGAGUCUCUGAUUCGUUUAUGCAAGGAUCUAUCUCAUCUGUUCCAGAGUAUCAUCCUAGGAUCUCUUCAGAGAUGAGGCGCGUCACGGAGAGAGGAGAAGAGGAGGCGACAGAGGAAGAGUGAAGACGUCGUCAUCGAUGUUGUCGGCGUCAGCUUCAUCUCGGCAUCGUGGUCGCUGUUGUUGGCGGCUUUACAAGCCUCUCCAAUAGCCUUCUUCACUCUCAGCAUCACGAUUGGUAUUCUCUCAAUUGAUUGGGACAGAGACGACGAAUAGACUAACAGAGACAAGAUAUUGCAAAUCUAGUAGGGAGAAGAGAAAGAGACAAAAAAGAGUAAGACAAAAAAUAUUAAAUUAGAAAAAAUAAAAAAUUUGGGUCCGUUAG